rnacentral:tRNA from 1 species
GCGGCUGUAGUCUAGCGGUUAGGACUGAAGCUUCCCAAGCUUUAAGCCCGGGUUCGAAUCCCGGCAGCCGCACCA